UUUUUGUUCUUUUACAAAUUGUUAUUUGAAAUUUACUAUUGAUUCUUUUAGCAUCUUCGAAGAGGAACAAUCUAUGGAGCAGCAAAGAAACGAGGCAACUGAGCGUUUGCUUUCCAGACAAGGACACCACAACCUUGUUUACAAUGAGGAAAAUGGUGGUGUUGGUGUCGGGGAUGAAGGGUUGGUGACUGUUUCCAAUUUUACCAGCAUUCUUGGUCUUAGCACCCUUACGGCUGCUUGCAUUACCUUUGGUUUUGGCUGUGCCAUAGGAUAUUCAUCGCCUACUCAAUCUUCAAUCAUGGAAGACUUGGGACUUUCUGUGGCUGAGUUCUCACUUUUUGGUUCAAUUCUAAGUAUUGGAUCACUAAUAGGUGCUGCAAUAAGUGGGAAGAUAACAGAUUUGUUUGGUCGGAAAAUGACCAUGUGGAUCUUGAAUUUGUUCUACAUCGGUGGAUGGCUUGCCAUAGCAUUUACAAAGGCCCCUUUGUUGCUUAACCUUGGAAGACUAUCACUAGGAUUCACAAAUGGAAUUUCCAAUUACUUGGCGUCCAUCUACGUUGCAGAAAUAACAACAAAGAAUGUCAGGGGAAGGUUUACAAUCAUAGUGCAGUUUUUAACUGGUUGGGGCGCGUCGUUCAUGUUUGUUGUUGGUUCCUUUGUCCAUUGGCGCACAUUGGCUCUGUUAGCCACGAUUCCCGGUCUGCUUCAACUCCUACUUCUCUUCUUCAUACCAGAAUCUCCUCAAUGGCUGGCAAAAGUUGGUCGUGAGAAAGAGCUUGAAGCCGCUUUGUUGUGCCUCAGGGGAGAUAAAGCUGAUAUUUCUCAUGAAGCAACUGAAAUAAAAGAUUAUGUGGAAUCUCUUAAAAGUUUCUCGAGUGAAGGAAUUUUAGACAUAUUUCAAAAGCAGUAUGUUCGGCCAUUACUUACUGUUGCUGGAGUGUUGGUCCUGAUGAAUUUGGGAGGAAUCAAUGCGCUUGCAUAUUAUUCUGGUGCUAUUUUUGUCUCAGCUGGUGUAUCUAGCAUGGUCGGGCUCAUCACAUUAGCUGCUACUCAGACAGUAAUUGGUAUUUUGGGUGCAACCUUAAUUGAUAAAUUAGGAAGACGACCACUCCUACUGGUUUCAUCAGCUGGAUUAUGCUUUAGUAGCUUCCUCACAGGAGUAUCAUUCUUCUUAAAGGAUUUUAAUUGGUGGGAUCAAGGUAGUCCUAUUGUGGCAUUCAUUGGCGUAUUGAUGUACAUGGGCUCAUAUGCACUUGGCGGAGUACUACCAUUGCUAUUACUAUCAGAGGUCUGCAAAUUGUGUUCCAUGUUGCUCCAACUCUUCAUUUUUCUUGAAGUAACCAUAUUCGACACCUGUGUCCAACCAUAUCCAGACAUGGUUAUUUCCAAUAAAUGUAAAAGGUUCAGCAGGAAGCAUCUGUAAUGUUAUGGGCAAUUUCACUGGUUGGCUUGUCGCAUACUACUUCAACUUCCUAAUUGAAUGGAGCUCAACAGGAAUAUUCUUUAUAUUUUCAGCCUUUAGCUUUGCAAAUUUCAUCCUAACAGCAACAAUGGUACCCGAGACUAAAGGACGAACAUUGGAGGAAAUACGAGCAUCAAUUACUCAUUCUUCAGAUUGAAAUAGCAAUUUGAUUUAAAUAUUGAUCACUCUAGCUGCUGGUGUUACUAGACAGUAAUGUUGGUAAUAAUAAUAUUUUAUUGCUAAGUAAUAAUUAAUAAUUAUUGAUCAAAUAAUUGGAUUAUAAAGACAACUUUUGUAGGUAUAACUUUAUGUAAAGUUGUAUUGUAAAACAACACAAGCCAAGAGUAUCUCAUCAAAAGAUAUAUAUUUAUGAAAGAGUAUAUCAUGAAAA